rnacentral:rRNA from 1 species
CUAAGUCACUUUGUCUUUAUGGCAAAUGUGAGAUGCAGUGUAUGGAAUGUCAAAUUUCUAGUAUGAGAAAUUAACGAUUUAAGUCCUUCUUAAAUGAGGCCAUUUACCCAGAGAGGGUGCCAGGCCCGUAUAACGUUAAUGAUUACUAGAUGGCAUUUCCAAAGAGUCGUGUUGCUUGAUAGUGCAGCACUAAGUGGGUGGUAAACUCCAUCUAAAACUAAAUAUAACCAUGAGACCGAUAGUAAACAAGUACCGUGAGGGAAAGUUGAAAAGAACUCUGAAUAGAGAGUUAAAUAGUACGUGAAACUGCUUAGAGGUUAAGCCCGAUGAACCUGAAUAUCCAUUAUAGAAAAUUCAUCAUUAUGAUUUUAAUAUUAAUAAUAUUAUAAUAAUGGUGUGCAUUUUUUCUAUAACGGACAUUGUAAUCUAUUAACAUAAAUAUAUUUAUCAUAAGAUCAAUGAUGCGUAAGUUUAUUCAAAUUAUUUUGCUUGCAAUUUAACAUAGAAUAAAUGCUCUUGAUUUGAUAAAGUGUUGAUAGAUUUAUUGUAUAUAGUGCUUAAAUAUUUUAUAUUUUAUAAUAGCAUAUUAAUCAUUGAUUUUUAUGUUUAUUAUAUGCACUUAUAUGAUUAACAAUGCGAAAGAUUCAGGAUACCUUCGGGACCCGUCUUGAAACACGGACCAAGGAGUCUAACAUAUUUGCAAGUUAUUGGGUAUCAAAACCUAAUAGCGAAAUUAACAUAACUUAUAUGGGAUUAGUUUUUAGAUUAUUUAUAGUCUAUUAAUUCAAUCCCGGGGCGUUCUAAUGUUAUGUAUAAUAAUAUUUAUAUUAUUUAUACCUCUAACUGGAGCGUACCUUGAGCAUAUAUGCUGUGACCCGAAAGAUGGUGAACUAUACUUGAUCAGGUUGAAGUCAGGGGAAACCCUGAUGGAAGACCGAAACAGUUCUGACGUGCAAAUCGAUUGUCAGAAUUGAGUAUAGGGGCGAAAGACCAAUCGA